rnacentral:rRNA from 1 species
AUUAGAUACCCUGGUAGUCCACGCAGUAAACGAUGGAUGCUAGCUGUCCGGGGCGAAUGAGUUCUGGGUGGCACAGCGAAAGCGUUAAGCAUCCCACCUGGGGAGUACGCCGGCAACGGUGAAACUCAAAGGAAUUGACGGGGGCCCGCACAAGCGGAGGAACAUGUGGUUUAAUUCGAUGAUACGCGAGGAACCUUACCCGGGCUCAAACGGCACAGUGAUACUUUUGAAAGGAGGUAGCUCUACGGAGACUGUGCCGAGGUGCUGCAUGGUUGUCGUCAGCUCGUGCCGUGAGGCGUCGGCUUAAGUGCCAUAACGAGCGCAACCCCUAUUGUCAGUUGCCAGCAGGUAAAGCUGGGGACUCUGACGAGACUGCCGGCGCAAGCUGAGAGGAAGGCGGGGAUGACGUCAAAUCAGCACGGCCCUUACGUCCGGGGCGACACACGUGUUACAAUGGCAGGCACAGCGGGAAGCCACCCGGCGACGGGGAGCGGAACCCGAAAGCCUGUCUCAGUUCGGAUCGGAGUCUGCAACUCGACUCCGUGAAGCUGGAUUCGCUAGUAAUCGCGCAUCAGCCAUGGCGCGGUGAAUACGUUCCCAGGCCUUGUACACACCGCCCGUCAAGCCAUGGAAGCCGGGAGCGCCUGAAGCGCGUGACCGCAAGGAGCGUUCUAAGGCAAAACCGGUGACUGGGGCUAAGUCGUAACAAGGUAGC